CAGAAGUAGAUAGUGUGUGACUCUGGUGUC
rnacentral:piRNA from 1 species